AGAGAAAGACGUCAGAUGUGGAGACGAUUCGUUAGCUUUUGGUGACUACGAUAAGUUGCCGCCAGAAUCCAACUGAAUCCUUCUUUUAAAAAAAAUCAUAAAGGCAGAAUUUGAUAUUUCUAUUUUGUUUUCAGCCUUCACUCCUCGAGAUGAGAGCUAAGUGGCGAAAGAAGCGCAUGCGCAGGCUGAAGCGCAAAAGGAGAAAGAUGAGGCAGAGGUCCAAGUGAGGCGUCCUGUCCUGUUUCUGCGGCAUGGUGCCAUCAACAAGGCCGGUGAGCAGAGCUGGAGAACCAGGAGCUUUCUGUGUAUAAGUCUGAAGGCCUGUGGGAGAAGAUCAUCAGGAGCUGAACCAGGUCUAGUCUGAUGGCAGGCUUUUCCACUGGGACAUUCUGGACUCGUCUUAAUUCCUUGACUUAAGUCAUUUGGUUUUGUUUGUACAUUGAUUAAAGGUUUUGAUUUAUAAAAUCCCAA